rnacentral:tRNA from 1 species
GGAUCAGUGGUGUAGCGGUUAACAUACCUCCCUGUCACGGAGGGGACCGCGGGUUCGAAUCCCGUCUGAUCCGCCA